GGACCGGUGGUGUAGUGGUAACACAUUGCGACUGGAUGUGGGGAUGGGUGGUUCGAUUCCUUCCCCGUCCG
rnacentral:tRNA from 1 species